UUGUUACUAAAAAUCACCAUCAUCACUUUUAUCGCAGAUUUCAGAGGGCGCCCUAUACGUAAUGUAUUUUUCAAAAAAAAUAUUGAAAAUAGCGUUUACUCCCACAGUGAAUUCAGGUGUAAUUCUUAAUUAAUUUUGAUGAAUAAGGUAUCAUUUUAAAGAUGAAGGUAUAAAUGAGGAGAUAGCCUUUUCGAAUUUUUGGAAAAUUUUUAUUUUCAUUUAUAAAUUAUUCUCAAAAGAACAGUAUUUUUUGACACGAUCUUUUUCAUAGAAAAUAAAACUUAUUCAGAAAUUCUAAAAAGUCAUUUCCUCGUUUAAACGAUGAUAUAAACGAUUAUACAAACAGAAGUAAUGAAAAGUCUUAAAGGUUAACAUGCAUUACACGAUUUGAGCAAAAAGGGAUGAUAUUCGCAUAUGAUUGGAACUUUCCUUCUAUUCGUCUCGUGAAGGACAUAUUAGCGUUACGUGACAAGAGAAGUACACUACAUUACCAGUAUAGAAUUUACAUAGCGAUAAUAUUCAUACAUUAUACCAUAACUCAAGUAAGGUAUGAAUUUUGUAUAUAAUUCAUAAAUAUGUAAUUGAAAUUUAUAAUGAUUGUAUUUGGAAAAUAUAGGAACAUAAAUAUAGAAUGAUUUCAAUAUAAACAUAUGCUUAUAUAUAUGAUAUACAGUAAAUAAUUAUAUUAAUAAUAAUGUGUGAUAUUUAUAUGGUAACUUUUACUAAGACGAUAACUACAAUGAAAAAAAUGACUUCUUAUCCAGUAUUAUGGCACUAAAAUUGUAGAUAGUGGAAGACGGUGAUUUACGCAGCACUAUUUUUUUUGAAAGCAUACAAAUAUUAAAAAAGUAUUUGUGCAGAUAUUUAAAAAUUUAAGUUUCAUAUUUUCCACUAAUCUAGUAUGCAUUUCGAAUAUAGUGUAAAUGGCGAUACCAACAAAAUUUGAAACAGUGGUAUUAAAUAUUAUAAGUUUGUAAUUUCUAUUAGGAAAAAAUAAAAAUAUUCUAAGUGUCAUUUAAAAUAAACUUUUCAGAGUU